CAAAAGAGUGGGAAGAGCUUUGAGUAGAGGUGAUAAACCUACCGAGCCCAGUUAUAGCUGGUUGCCUGCGAAAUGAAUAGGAGUUCAGCCCUUUAAGUCUUUCCCCCCUCACCUAUGCUUACGCUAAAAUUGAUUAAGGAAACUAAAGGAGUUAAUCAAAAGGGGUACAGCCCUUUUGAUAGAAGAAACAACUUUAACAGGUGACCCAAGAUCAUAUUACCCAAGGAUUUCAAAUUAAGUGGGCCUAAAAGCAGCCAUCUUAUCAGAAAGCGUUAAAGCUCAAAUUAGCCUACAUCCUCAUAUACUGAUAUUACAUCUUCCUCCCUGCCCCUUACCAGGCUGUCUUAUGCCCCCAUAAGAAUAAUUAUGCUAAAAUGAGUAAUAAGAAAAAUUUAAUUUUUCUCCUAGCACAUGUGUAAGUCGGAACGGACCUCCCACCGACUAUUAAUCGACCCCAAACCCAGAGGGUAAUAGGUCAAAUAAACAAGAAAAACACCUAUUUUGUAUCGUUAACCCCACACAGGUGUGCCUAAAGGAAAGACUAAAAGAGAAGGAAGGAACUCGGCAAACACAAGCCUCGCCUGUUUACCAAAAACAUCGCCUCUUGCUCUAAAAAUAUAAGAGGUCCCGCCUGCCCUGUGACUAUAAGUUUAACGGCCGCGGUAUUUUAACCGUGCGAAGGUAGCGUAAUCACUUGUCUUUUAAAUGAAGACCUGUAUGAAUGGCAUCACGAGGGCUUAGCUGUCUCCCAUCUCCAGUCAAUGAAAUUGACCUCCCCGUGCAGAGGCGGGGAUAAUUACAUAAGACGAGAAGACCCUAUGGAGCUUUAGACCUAAGGUAAGUCACGUUUAACAUGCUGUGAUAACAGAAAAAACUUAGUGAUAUUUACUGAAGUGUCUUUGGUUGGGGCGACCGCGGGGUAAAACACAACCCCCAUGUGGACCGGGGAUAUAAUCCCUAAUACUCAGAGCCUCUACUCCGGGUAACAGAAAUUCUGACUUUUCUGAUCCGGUAUAACCGAUCAACGAACCGAGUUACCCUA
rnacentral:rRNA from 1 species